rnacentral:tRNA from 1 species
GCCGAGGUAGCUCAGCCUGGGAGAGCGCCCGGCUGAAGACCGGGUCGUCGCAGGUUCAAACCCUGCCCUCGGCA